rnacentral:rRNA from 1 species
AUGACAAUCGACAAGAAUCUUAGCAACCUCUUCAACGCAUCUGUCAAGUUCAACCUUGGAAAUGGAGAAAGGAUUAAGUUCUGGUUAGAUCCUUGGCUCAAUGGGGUUGCUCUGAGUUGCGCGGGGCCUAACCUAUUUGCUUGCUGCACUCGCAAGAACCUCAUUGUGGCUCAAGCCCUUCAUGAUGGCCAUUGGAUUAGACACCUGCGUCACCCUCUUGCACCAACAUCCAUUGUCCAAUUCACAAGGCUUUGGGAGAUGGUUGCCGAUGUGCGCCUACUGCAGGGAACUCCGGAUUCGGUAAUCUGGAGAUGGACGCCGAGCGGUGCUUACUCUUCCGCCACUGCAUAUGCCGUGCAAUUCAAGGGGUGCAUUCGCCUCGCCGGCCAGCGGCACAUUUGGGCAGCAGAUGCUCCACUAAAAUGUAGAAUUUUUGCUUGGCUAGCGAUCCUGGGCAAAUGCCUUACAGCGGACAACCUACGUAAGAGAGGAUGGCCACACGACCCGAUCUGUUGUCUCUGCAGGGCAGUGGACGAGUGUGCCGAUCACCUCCUGGCACGCUGCUCCUUCACCCAAGCACUAUGGAGUUUGAUGCUGAACCACUGCAACCUUCCCACAACACUUGCACCGACAGGGGCAACCUCCAGCCUCGUUGAAUGGUGGGAGUCCAACGUGGUGAGCAUUAAUCUGCCCAACUCAAGGGGCUGGGGUGGUCUUGCGGUGGCCAUCUGGUGGUUCACUUGGCGCGAGAGGAACGCUCGGAUUUUCCAAAACAAGGCGUCCACUGUUAGCAGAGUGUUCAACUCGAUGAUGGAUGAGUUUAUGCUAUGGAACCAGGCUGGGCGUCACAGGAUUCAGCAGAUUCUAGACAGACCACGUGAGCCGGACUGA